GUGCUCGCUUCGGCAGCACAUAUACUAAAAAUUGGAAUGAUACAGAGAAGAUUAGCAUGGCCCCUGCACAAGGAUGACACGCAAUUUCGUGAAGCGUUCCAUAUUUUU
rnacentral:snRNA from 1 species